GCUAAAUCAGUGUCAAGGACUCUCCACGUGUAAAUAAAGGAGACUGAAAAUUUCCAGCAGAGUCAUCUUUGACUACUUACCGCAUGUUGAUGCUGCCAGACCAAGUGGAGGCAGGCCAAGUGGAGAGGCACAGACAAUGGAUAACCUCACCAAUCAAAGAUGACUGCUUGUGAAUCUUCUUCAGGUUGUAAAAUAUCAACUCAUGCCUAACGAUUGUCUGAGAAGACCAACUGAAAGGCCACAGAAGCCUGGAGGUCACAGAUGAGGUCAUUUCCACCCAAAGCGGUGGUCCCAUCUGCUGGUGAGACUCUGGUCACUGUGGCUGCCUUCCUAAAAAUGUGAAGGCGGAUGCAGGAGGACAAGAGCCAGGAGCAAUAGCAAGCUACAAUAGAGGACCAGCAUCACCCAGCUCAUGCAGCGAUCACAGCUGCAGGACCUUUCUGGAUGCAUGGAGUCCUCAGGAGGACAAGAGUUUUUGAAGAUGAACAUGGUGCAAUUUUAAAGCAGUCAUCAUAUGUCCCAGACAAGGUGAUGGAAUUGUUGGCUGCUAGACUGUGACAUGAGGGCUGCAGGAGGGCAAGUGAAGCCAUUUUGUGAGUGGAUCAUUCCAGGGAAUGACGGGUGACCUGUGUGGGAUGUUGCACUCAUGCACCCACAAUGCAUGCGUAGAGUGGCUGAUGCCAUGUGCGGCUGAUCACAUCAGUUCAAUUCAUUUCCCAAUAGCGAGAUCAGUGCUACAGUCGAGCAGGGAGAUUCAGCAACAUAACUGGCUCUGCCCAGGCACAGGGUUCCACUGACUGCACACAUGGUACUGAGGGUCAUAUCACAAAACUGUGGAAUUCAUCAACAGGAACGGGUUCCAUUUUAUUCAUCUCCACAUGUUCUGUGUUCACAGUUACCACUUCCUGGAGGUAUGUGCCCACUACCCUUGCAGCUGCCAUGACUCCGACAUCCUGGAGCACUGUCAUGAACUUGGUGCAUUUGAGCAUUCAGGGACUUUAUAAAGCUGGUUACUGGGGACGAGGGCUACCUAGUUUGACCAUGGCUUAUCACACAUUGCACAAUGCCCUGACUGAUACUGAGUGCAAAGGCAUUACCACCUAGGCUUUAUUCAGGCCUUUAUGGAGCAGAUAAUUGAGCUGUUGAAGAUGUGAUUCUAUUUCUUGCAGGGGUGCGGGAGGGUGCCUCAAAUUAUAGUCUGGAUGGAGUGUUCCCCAUCAUCCACAUAUGCUGUGCUCUGCACAAGUGGAGCAGACAAUGAGGCACUGUGCUACGAUACUGAGGAAUCAUGGGAAUGUGAGUAGCCUUCCAAAGGCUUUUGGGGAAGUGGAAGUUCUUAUCCAUGACAGAGCUCAGCUGCUUUGGGCUUAGCAAAUCAGAGAG